CAUCUUUGAUCUGGCAUAUAUGCAUAGCACGCGACCCAUAGAAAAUACACGUACACGUGUGUAUGUACUGUAAUAAUAAUAAUGCAUGUAUUUCUAUCUUACCAUGCAUCUUACAGAUCUUCUUCUUCUCCUUCCUUACACGUGCAGACUUCAUGGCUGAAGAUAAUCGCACUGCCAGAUGAUUGAUACACACAGUAGCCCAGGUUGGACGUCGUCGCGUUGUACACAACGGAGGAGUCCACUGGGCUAAUACACACGGAUGAUUGAUACACAAGGAUGAUUAGGCCAUCGGCCUACCUUCAAAUAAUUCGGUUCUGUAUUGAGCAUAGAAGAUUACUCGGGAAAAAGUUUCAAACACCAGCCAUUCCUGCCAUCUGACCAUCCAAUGCAGACUUUGCACAGCAAUAUUGUCUUACAUCCUGAUAAAUGCACAUUCUUGCCUCCUAUGAUGAACUUUGACACUUCCCAUUCAUUGAGAUCAACACUUCCAACAAAUGAGCUUCGUUGACAACACACCACUGAUGGACACUUCAUCGAGUUCUGCACUCCACAACACUGCUGCACACCACACUUUAUUAAGUAUCAAUCUUCUCACAAAUUGUGUACUCUUAAGAAAAUAAACAUUUCAUAAAUGAACUUCAUUUUUUUGUACUAGCUAACUUAUACAGUAUGUGCAUGUGUUAUUUCACUAUCCUUUACAUAAACGAAAUCUAGCUCAUUUAAUACAAUAAAUCGUACUUCUGUCAGUACUUGCCACAUCGCUCAAGUAGGCAGCCUGAACAAAAUUCGCACUUUAUUAACCCUCCUACACAAACAUGCAUUCUCUGCCAAGCUGUCUUUGCAGUCAAAAUCAAUCAAAGUAUUAUUUCAAACAGUUAAAAGUUCCCAGCCUACAAGCAAAAUUGACUGGCUGUGACUAUUUACAAAUUUAAUUUAAUACAAAUAUUCGCUGUAGAUGAUUAUUAAGUCAGCUGUGCAACCGGUUUCCUGUUUUUAGCUUUUGACUAAAGAUGACUAGUCAGAGUGCAUCCUCAAAAUAUGCUCUGACUGCUUGUCACUAACCUCUGUAAAAUGCAUUGCUCGUGAAGUGCUCAAAAGUGACUGAUUAGCUCUCCUUUUGUGCCAUCGGCCACAGUCACUCAACAAAUUAUUUACUUCCCCUCAUAUGCCUUUUACACAGGCUACACACCAACAGUCAAAUCACGUCUUGUAUACAUACAAUGUACACUGUAUACAUACAAUGUACACUGUAACCAAUCACACUCCAUCAACGGACAUCCAACUUCUUCCCUCGUACUGCUGUGGUUUAGAAAUCACUUCCCACAUCUUGUUUCCCCUCCGCUUAUAAUUUCUCCCACUUUAAGGGCAACAUCAAUAGCCAUUUUUCUUCAUUUUGAUCAUAACUUGUAAUUUGCUUUGUACUUUCUUAGCCAUCACAAUGAAUGGCCCAUCUUGGGCCAUAUGAUUGACAACUUAACAUAAAAAAUGUGGAACCUUCACCCUAACCCCCUAGGCCCGUUCGGCUACGAAGCAGCCUCAAUCCUUCACAAUCCUCCAAUCGGUCAAACUAAAAUAUUGCAUGCACCCUCAAUCCCACAAAAUCCCCCAAUAUUCAGUGCUGAGUUGUGCAUAGUGAGGUCGCCAUUGCCUCAAUCCUCCAAAAUCCAUCAAUCCACAAUAUAUAUAGUGUAUAAUGCAAGUGCAUAAUGUAGUACAGUACCGCAGAAUAACAUAGUAACAUUCAUAAUGUACAGGACAGUAAAAAAAUACUUCCCUUGACAACAAAAAACAAAAACAACUGUAAAGAGUCAUUCACACACAGAACUGCAAGUCAUAUAAAGCAUACUGCACAAGUACAUGGGCAAUAACAUGUGCAGUGUAGUGCAUGUGAAACAGUACACCCCACUUGACCAGAAUUUACCUUGCAAAACACUGGUGCAUUCAAUAGUGUUAGCCAGCAACCCAUAUAAUACAGUUACAACUGUAAAAGCAAUACGCAAUGCAAGACAUACAUAUCCUUGAAACAAUGGUACACAUCAUUUAUGUGUAGCCUAUAGUAUACAAAUAACAAAUGUU
rnacentral:lncRNA from 1 species